AAGGUUAUCAGAACCGGACCGGACCGGCCGGUCGAACCGGUCCGACCGCGACCCGUGAAGAAAACGGUCCGAUCCAAUCCCCAAAACCGGAAAAACUAAAAAACCGGUCCAAAUGUCUAAAACCGGGUUCGACCGGACAAAACCGGUGAACCCGGAAACCGGCCAUUGACUCCGGUUCUUGUCUAAAACACUGCGUUAAGGUGGCUAUGGUGGCGGCAUAUGGGCGGAAUUCGGCGGGGUGGCUGGAUCUGGGUGGAGUAGGGCCGUGGGCGACCGGAAUUUGACGGAUCUGGACGUGGGUUGCCGGAAUUUGUUGAAUCUGGUCGUGGAUGACCGGAACAAGUUGUGGGUGACUGAAUAUGGAGGGAGAAAAGAAAUAGACGAAGAAAAUGAAAAAA
rnacentral:lncRNA from 1 species